GAUGAAGAACUUAGCGAAAUGCGAUAAGUAAUGUGAAUUGCAGAAUUCAGUGAAUCAUCGAAUCUUUGAACGCACCUUGCACUCCUUGGUAUUCCGAGGAGUACGCCUGUUCGAGUGUUAUGAAGCUCUCAAAACGCAAUUGGCUUAAAACCUGAUUGUUGUUUUGGAUUUGAACUUUGCCGUGUUAUAACGGCUGGUUUUAAAAGUAUUAGCUGGUACUAGAACGAAUUGGUUCUACUCAACGUGAUAAUUAUCUGAUCGUUGAGGACAUUCCUUUCACGAGGAAUGGCCAUAGUAAAUUCAAUGGACUGCUUCUAAUCUGGCUUUAAUUCUUUAUUGGAUUAACCACUUUUCAAAUCUGACCUCGAAUCAGGUGGGACUACCCGCUGAACUUAAGCAUAUCAAUAAGCGGAGGA
rnacentral:misc_RNA from 1 species